AUAUAUAUAGUUUAAUAAAAACAUUAUAUUUUCAUUAUAAAAAUUAUAUGUAUGUGUAUAUAUAUAUA
rnacentral:tRNA from 1 species